AGCGAACGUUAGCGGCGCGCCUAACACAUGCAAGUCGAACGGCAGCACGGGUGCUUGCACCUGGUGGCGAGUGGCGAACGGGUGAGUAAUGUAUCGGAACGUGCCCAGUAGUGGGGGAUAACUACUCGAAAGAGUGGCUAAUACCGCAUGAGAACUGAGGUUGAAAGCGGGGGGACCUUCGGGCCUCGCGCUACUGGAGCGGCCGAUAUCAGAUUAGGUAGUUGGUGGGGUAAAGGCCUACCAAGGCCACGAUCGGUAGCUGGUCUGAGAGGAUGAUCAGCCACACUGGGACUGAGACACGGCCCAGACUCCUACGGGAGGCAGCAGUGGGGAAUAUUGGACAAUGGGCGCAAGCCUGAUCCAGCAAUGCCGCGUGUGUGAAGAAGGCCUGCGGGUUGUAAAGCACUUUCAGUGGGGAAGAACAGGUUCGGGUCGAUACCCCGGAGCCCUGACGUUACCCACCAGAAGAAGCACCGGCUAACUCCGUG
rnacentral:rRNA from 1 species